AGCAGCCGCGGUAAUUCCAGCUCCAAUAGCGUAUAUUAAAGUUGCUGCAGUUAAAAAGCUCGUAGUUGAAUUUCGGGACUAAUAUGUCGGUCGUGCCUCGGUACGUACUGGUAUUGUUGGUUUCUCCCUUCUGACGAACCAUGAUGUCAUUUAUUUGGUGUCGUGGGAAAUCAGGACUGUUACUUUAGAAAAAAUUAGAGUGUUUAAAGCAGGCUCACGCUUGAAUACAUUAGCAUGGAAUAAUGAAAUAGGACGUUUGAUUCUAUUUUGUUGGUUUCUAGGAUCGACGUAAUGAUUAGUAGGGAUAGUUGGGGGCAUUAGUAUUCAAUUGUCAGAGGUGAAAUUCUUGGAUUUAUUGAAGACUAACUACUGCGAAAGCAUUUGCCAAGGAUGUUUUCAUUAAUCAAGAACGAAAGUUAGGGGAUCGAAGACG
rnacentral:rRNA from 1 species